rnacentral:ncRNA from 1 species
GCGUGGGUCGGCCCGCUGUACUGGACCAGUGGGCUGGGGGAAACCGCCGCCCCGUUCCCCGCGGGCGGACGGUCCGGCCCGGGAGGUUGGAGAAGCCUCCCGGGCCGUC